UAUCGACAAAGUGUUCAUCGAUGGAUGAAUUUUUUGAAAAGGGGGUGAAAAUUUUGCUCGAAUCACCCCAAAAUGAGAGUGUGUGCGUGGCUCGCUGUAUCGCGAUAGAGUUCGGCGUGUGUCGAAUGAAUGUGCAAAAUGGUCGUAGUAGGCUAAAAAUCUGUCUUUCUGUUUUCGCUCGGUCGCUGUACAUUUUCAUACGGAAAUAGUUAGUGAAUUGUGGAUUGCGUCAGUUCGUGGAUUGUGUAUUCGAUUGUGGAAUAGUGUUUGCCAAGUUGUUCCAGUUCUAGUUCUAAAAGGAUGUUCCUGUGCCGGCACUGGUAAGUUGUACCGCCAGCGUGAUGACCUGCUGGCGCUGCUUUCGGCUGAAUACGACGAUGCAGAAGCAGGACAAGUUGUUUGGUGUUUUUUGAAAGCAACGCGUGGAGACAUAGGACCACAGUUGCCGGUCCUCAUAUCUAGUAGAGGCUUUUGUGUACAAAAAUCAGGAAGCAGGAAGGAUCAAGAAGCUGGAUUCAAGUGCCGUAGUGUGAAAUACUUCGUCAAAGGAGAAAAGCGCGUGUUUUCUUACAACUGUGCCCACACGUCCCUUUGGCCUACUGCUUCAAAGCUGACUCAUACUUCUUGUUGGUCGCCCUCGAAUACGGCGUAUGAAUUGACGGCCACAUCUUUUUCGCAUCAUUUGAAAGGAACAAAUUAUUGGACAUGGUCGUGAUUAUCCAGUUCUAUGAUGCACCUGCCAAUGGAAGUGAAAGACAAGCCAACCUUAGGCAUUGGUUGUUUUUGCUGCUGAUCGGUUCUAAAUCGGUUUGUAUCGUAACUAACGAUUCUCGACGAAGUGUCAGUGUCCUAAUCUUCCUUAUUUUCAUUGCUCAACAAUCAGGAUAGUGGAAACCGCUCUUGUUGACACUCUACAUAGGCGCUGGAUUGGAUUUUUCUUCGCUCUGCUCACAGUGCGUGACCUUGAUUUAUUGUGGCAAUCUAUCAGUCAACUAACAUUCCCUUCAGGCAACACACCUUCAGUCCUCCGUACACAUCUGAUUUCCGUAAGAAUUACGCCUCAAAUUCGAAGGAGACAAUGUUCUAUCUGCACCUAGCACCUCUACAAACCGUGACCGAUAAAGCUAUCCUUCGUCUAGGAUACUAUACUGCGCCAAAGUUGAAGGUCGGUCGAAUCAUAAACUAACUAAGGAAUCGCCACUCGUUACGAGAUUAUUAUUGGUUGGAACCUUGUUUUUCGCCGUUUGUUAUACAUUCCAUUUGCAGAUACAAAAUGGAGUGCAAAAAAUCACGUGGUAAUGCGGUCAAAAUAAAAUCCAGAUCGUACCCUAUGCCAAACUCAAAGACACGAUGUUAGUUUGUUUCGAAACACGCUGAAAAUUCCAUUGAAAGUUUUCGCCUGGACCUAUUUGAUUGAUACAGGAUAUGAAUCUCUUCGAAACUUGAUCUUGGAAAGGGGAAAAUGUCCACGAUGAUGUAUUGUUUAUGCUGCACCGAUCGAAACAGACCGCGUGAUUAUGAAAACGGUAACAAAUCGUGGGCAGAAUAGUGUGGACCAGGACUAGAAACCCAUGGCUAAGCUGGCGCAGAAUACGAGCGUUGAAAAUUGUACGCUGUCUGGAUGGAUGCUGGAUUUUUUCUGGGGUAUGGUCUAAAACUAUGUAGAUAAUAAGAAUGGAAAAAAGGUAUGAAGCGUAAGAUGAAAGAUAUUGUUACGGGUCUAAAUCAGUACAUGUUAAUUGUUAUCUUUUUACGCUUGCCAUAAAAUUAGGAAAAAUAAAAAAAUAAUAUUAUAUUUGUUAAAAACAAAAAAUGUUUUCAUUGCACCGUUGGAAAUCAACGGUGUGGAAAGAACGAUUGAAAAUGAACUUACAGCGUAAAAAUGAACCUUACGAAAACGCGCUCAUGAAAUAAUGAAUCUCACGCACACACUCUCAAAAAACGGCUUCACAAGAUCUGCUGUGAAGCUUUUGUGAAGCCGCUUGUGAAGCCGUGAAUUUUACUCGAAAUUCACUCUCAGGCGAGCAGUUUGUCGAUAGGGC